CACACUAUUUGCAGAUGACCAGUGUC
rnacentral:piRNA from 2 species